rnacentral:rRNA from 1 species
ACUCCUACGGGAGGCAGCAGUGGGGAAUAUUGCACAAUGGGCGCAAGCCUGAUGCAGCAACGCCGCGUGAGCGAUGAAGGCCUUCGGGUCGUAAAGCUCUGUCCUCAAGGAAGAAUAAAUGACGGUACUUGAGGAGGAAGCCCCGGCUAACUACGUGCCAGCAGCCGCGGUAAUACGUAGGGGGCAAGCGUUAUCCGGAAUCACUGGGCGUAAAGGGGUGCGUAGGCGGUUUUCAAGUCAGAAGUGAAAGGCUAUGGCUCAACCAUAGUAAGCUUUUGAAACUGUUAAACUUGAGUGCAGGAGAGGAAAGUGGAAUUCCUAGUGUAGAGGUGAAAUUCGUAGAUAUUAGGAGGAACACCAGUGGCGAAGGCGACUUUCUGGACUGUAACUGACGCUGAGGCACGAAAGCGUGGGGAGCGAACAGGAUUAGAUACCCUGGUAACACAGAG